GUUUUUCCCGGCAAAACUCCCAUUCGCCAACUUUUAACCUUACUCUGAAAAAUGUAUUCAGACAAAAUUCUGAGUCUAAAAAACCUUAAAGGACAUUGGACAAUUUGGGGGGAAUUUUUUCACACAGACAAUCCGUCUAGGAUAUUAAAGCCUGCAGUUUUGAAAAUGUUUGAAUUCACAACACAAAUAAACAAUUUGAAGAUUAAUAUGUUGUUGUUGGCCAACCUUGUGGUUCAGGUGUGCUUCAAAGCAACGCGUCUGUUUACCUGUAAACAUUUCCUUUUGAAUCAUUUGUUUUUUAAAUAUCACUGGCAAUGUUGCGUCAUUUUUUAAAAUCUUGGUUGUCUCUGUUUCUGCGUUGUGUAUAUAUUUCAACACUGAUAAAAUCGGUGUACUUUAGCGCGAGUUAUCAAGGCGUAUUACAUAGUUUGUCGGUUUGUUUAUUUUAUAAAAAGUUAUGAUAAUCAAUGCAUUUUAUAUUAUGUACGGGUUUUAAUAUUGAUCAAUCAUUUUAUGUUUUACUUAUAUUCAUAAAUAUUUAAUUCUUUUAUAACUCGUAUUUUUAGGUUUAAGUUUUCCCGGAGUUUAAUCUACGAAACUCUUGGAUGUUUUGCUUUUAGCUUUAGCAUGAUAUAUACCUUGUACUUUCAUUAUCAAUGAAAAUUAAAACAAAAUGUCAUUUUAUUGUUUAAAAAUUAAAUAAAUUUAGUUACAUG
rnacentral:misc_RNA from 1 species